CAGUAGCCGCGGGAAUACAGAGGGUGCGAGCGUUAAUCGGAUUUACUGGGCGUAAAGCGUGCGUAGGCGGCUUCUUAAGUCGGAUGUGAAAUCCCUGAGCUUAACUUAGGAAUUGCAUUCGAUACUGGGAAGCUAGAGUAUGGGAGAGGAUGGUAGAAUUCCAGGUGUAGCGGUGAAAUGCGUAGAGAUCUGGAGGAAUACCGAUGGCGAAGGCAGCCAUCUGGCCUAAUACUGACGCUGAGGUACGAAAGCAUGGGGAGCAAACAGGAUUAGAGACCCCUGUAGUCCCUGUCUCUUAUAA
rnacentral:rRNA from 1 species